rnacentral:rRNA from 1 species
UACGAGGGGGGCGAGCGUUGUUCGGAAUUAUUGGGCGUAAAGGGCGCGUAGGCGGUGCGGUAAGUCACCUGUGAAAUCUCCGGGCUUAACUCGGAAAGGUCAACUGAUACUGCGCGGCUAGAGUGCGGAAGGGGCAACUGGAAUUCUCGGUGUAGCGGUGAAAUGCGUAGAUAUCGAGAGGAACACCUGCGGCGAAGGCGGGUUGCUGGGCCGACACUGACGCUGAGGCGCGAAAGCCAGGGGAGCGAACGGG